GGAGGCAGAGGCUGGACAGCUCAGACUCAGGCACAUGGAGAUGGGGUCCCAGGCUCAGAUGCUCUUUCUCCUGUUGUUCUGGAUCCCAGAUGCCCGAGGGGCCGUUGUGCUGACCCAGUCUCCAGCCUCCCUGGCUGCAUCUCCAGGAGAGAGAGUCACCAUGUCCUGCAGGGCCAGUCAGAGCAUUGGCACCAACCUGCACUGGUACCAACAGAAACCAGGCCAGGCCCCCAGGCUCCUCAUCUACUAUGCUAACAGUCUGGCAUCCGGGGUCCCUGCCCGGUUCAGUGGCAGUGGCUCUGGGACUGAUUUCUCCAUCACAAUCAGCAACAUGGAGGCUGAGGACGCUGCAGUCUAUUACUGUCAGCAGGACUAUAGCAGGCCUCCCACAGUGAUACAGCCCCGAACAAAAACCUGCCCAGCACCUGCUGAGGGAGCAUCAGGGCCCCAGGGGCCUCUCCUUCCCCUUGGCUGGGAUGGGGGCAGCUUGUCUGGGCUGCCUCGGGGGAGGUUUCUGGGUCUCAGAGGAAGAUGCUGGGGCUGUGAGAAUUCUCCCCUGAUUUAUUUUCCAGCCAAGAAUCCACCAAAAUGAAUCCAGAGUAGCUGGCCCUGAAAUUAAGUCUGAUCAACCGGGUCUAUCACUUCUCUGCCAGGAGGGGGCAGCACAUUUACUUCAUCAUUGGUCCCCUGGAGAGAAAUGAUUGGUCAUUUUAGGGUCAGGAUUUCUCCCCCAUCUCUGCUGGAUCCUUCCCCAGAUCCUGCCCUCUAACUGUAGCUGCCCCUCGGGGCUCUAUCUCGGCCCCCAUUCUCUUCUCCUCUAUAUCACUUCCCUUGGUGACAUCAUCAGCUCCCAUGGAUUGAAUUUCCAUUGCUUUGCUGAGAAGUCACAGAUCUCCCUCUCCUGCCCCAUCUCUCUCCCACCCUCCAAACUGGCAUUUUAGACAACACAGAUUGGAAACCCAGUAGACAUUUUAGCCUCGCUGGGUCCAAAACAGCACUUGCUCUCUUUCUGACUUAAGCUUCCCCUUCUGCAACUUUUCCCUGUCAAUGGGCAAAUAACAGGCUUUGAAAUAAUUUCAGACUCCUACUGAUCUCCCCACUGUCUCCCACUGCCCCCGUCCUCCCCACAUCUGAGUCCUGUGCUGUAGCUUCUAGGGAGGAAAUAGCAAUAACC